rnacentral:snRNA from 1 species
GUGCUCACUUCAGCAGCACAUAUACUAAAACUGGAACAAUACAGAGAAGAUUAGCAUGGCCCCUGUGCAAGGAUGAUGUGAAAAUUCAUGAAGCGUUCCAUAUUUAA